GGCGGCGUGCCUAACACAUGCAAGUCGAACGAGAAAUCUCUCGCUUGCGGGAGAGAGUAAAGUGGCGCACGGGUGAGUAACGCGUGGGUAACCUGCCCUUGAAUCUGGGAUAACUUCGCGAAAGCGUUGCUAAUACCGGAUAUUGUCCCUGGAACCGUGGUUCUAGGGAUGAAAGGUGACCUCUUCAUGAAAGUUGUCGUUCAAGGAAGGGCCCGCGUGCCAUUAGCUUGUUGGUGGGGUAAUGGCCUACCAAGGCUACGAUGGUUAGCUGGUCUGAGAGGAUGAUCAGCCACACUGGAACUGAAACACGGUCCAGACUCCUACGGGAGGCAGCAGUGAGGAAUUUUGCGCAAUGGGGGAAACCCUGACGCAGCAACGCCGCGUGAGUGAAGAAGGCUUUCGGGUCGUAAAGCUCUGUCAAGGGGGAAAAACCCCUCUCGAUGAAUAGUCGAAAGGACUGAUGGUACCCCUAGAGGAAGCACCGGCUAACUCCGUGCCAGCAGCCGCGGUAAUACGGAGGGUGCAAGCGUUGUUCGGAAUUACUGGGCGUAAAGAGCGUGUAGGCGGUUUGGCAAGUCAGAUGUGAAAGCCCUGGGCUCAACCCAGGAAGUGCAUUUGAAACUGCCAUUCUAGAGUAUGGGAGAGGAGAGUGGAAUUCCCCAGUGUAGAGGUGAAAUUCGUAGAUAUUGGGAGGAACACCGGUG
rnacentral:rRNA from 1 species